UACAGAGGUCUCAAGUGUUGUUCGGAUUCAUUGGGCGUAAAGGGUGCGUAGGUGGCGUGGUAAGUCGGGUGUGAAAUUUCGGAGCUUAACUCCGAAACUGCAUUCGAUACUGCCGUGCUUGAGGACUGGAGAGGAGACUGGAAUUUACGGUGUAGCAGUGAAAUGCGUAGAGAUCGUAAGGAAGACCAGUGGCGAAGGCGGGUCUCUGGACAGUUCCUGACACUGAGGCACGAAGGCCAGGGGAGCAAACGGG
rnacentral:rRNA from 1 species